AGUAACAGAUGCUCCAAAGGAAGAAGAGAGCUUCACUGCCAUGCCCGUGAAUAUUGUGGACGGUAAAUGCUCUUUUUUGGGCACUGCAAUUCCUUCUUUCCAUACCCGGAAAUUUCAAGAUCCGUGUGUUGAAGCUACGUGCAUACUUAAGUCAGAGAUGGUGUUUCUUAACACAUGUCCUCCUACCGAUACACCGUACAACACAAGCUGCCAAGUGGUAAAUGGAUCUGACGGUGAAUUUCCUUGGUGUUGCAAGACACUUAGAUGCAAUAAAAGUUAGUUAAAACAUUGUUUA